CAACCUAUUGUGCCAUAAUUGCACAAGCUGUUUGUAAAUAUUUUCAGUGAGAAACCUAAAGUUUGUAAAAAAAAAAGUUUGUGAAAAAGUGAAUGAUUUUUUUUUUUAUUUGAUCGCAUUUGGCGGUGAAAUGGUGGCAUGAAAUAUACCAAAAUGGGUCAAGAUCAAUAAAAAAAAAUGUAAAAAUAGCCCUGGUCCUUAAGGGAAAGAAAUUGAAAAAUGGCCUUGUCCUUAAGGGGUUAAGUAACAACACACAGACAUUUUUCAAGCAGAGACCCCUGUCCUAGAUAAAGUCCUCAUUCACAAAAAACAAAAGAACAGGAACAUUCAAUUUUCUCAUUUAGUCCUCUAGGACAGAGUUGUUCAGUGCAAUGACACCACAUACCUUCACGACCCUAUUUUGAUACUUUAUUCCUGAUUGUAAUCACACUUGAAAGUUUUGUAAAAGGUAACACACACACACAAUCUUGUACACCACACACACUCUUAUAUAACACACAUCACACAUUCUCCUACAAUACACAGCACACACACACAACACGCACACACUCUCCUACAACACACACAAUCUUGUACACCACACCCACUCUUAUAUAACACACAUCACACAUUCUCCUACAAUACACAGCACACACACAACACGCACACACUCUCCUACAACACACACACACAAUUCGCGACCCAGUAAAUAAGGUGUUGGUUUGAAAAACCCUGCUCUAGAACUUAGAUCUAAAGAUUAAUUUGAAUACUUAGCCCAAAUAGGUUGUCCUUUCUAAUAUAAACGUACACAUUUGUAUCUACUGUCGUCACCUGUCUCAUACAUUUUACAGAAUAGAUUUGCUGUUAUAUUGUAUGUUCUUUUAUACUAGAUGUGAAGUUUUAAAAAAAGAUUUCAAAUUUUCAUUCAUUUUACAGGUACUUAUACCAAUGAUCCGGUGUAAUUCUCAUAAAGAAAGAAUCCGGGGUGAAUUGAAAGCCAGGAUUCCUGGCAUUUACAGCCUAAUAUUUGACAACACUUUUUCCAGGUUCAUAUCCAAGAGAGUGUUUUAUCACUUGACUGUUGAACAACCGGUGGUCUAUGACGGAAGUGACUUUUCUUAAUGGAAUUAAAGAAAUCUUAAUGGCUUCUUUCAGAUUGUUCCAAACAGUUACUGCUGCAGAUCAACACUACAAGUCUAGCAGUAGACACUAAAAUUAAGCAGUAUUUGUAUUUAGAAAAAAUAUACAAGCACAUUAUUAUGACAAUGCCAUACCAAAUAUAUCUAUUUAUAUCUGUACACUGGUAUAACUUUUGUCAGCAAUAUAUUUAUAAGACUGGUUUUGUAAUUUGUAUUUUUAAAAAUAGUGCAAGAAUAUGCAAUCAACUGUGUUAUUUGGGUUCUGAUGCAUAUAUAUUUUUUUUUAGUUUGCAUUAAAGGGGCAUUACAUUUAUUUCACAUACGUGCAUAAUAUACACACACACACACACGUAUUAUAUAUACUGUAUAUAAAUAUAUAUAUAUAUAUAUAUAUAUAUACACACACAAACUUUUAAGUUCUCCAUACAAAAUACAUUUUCAGCAAUUUAAAACUUUCUUGUUUGUUUUGCAGUCCUAUGAUUAUAAUAUACUGUAUAAUAAUUUCCCUGAAUAUUUCAUUUUGCAUUGAUUCACUGAUUUAAAAUAAUAUUGCCAAAUUUUGUGGGUCCUUGCAAGGUUACCCAAGGGUCACAAACAGAGUAAAAACAGAAAUAUUGAUGUUUCCUCACUAGAUUUUAGGAGAUCACAUCAGCCAUGAUUCAGAUGCAAUAAAACAGGGUUCUCUUAAAAAAAGGGCUAAUUUUUUAUGAUGAUUCAUUACAGAUACAUUAACCUACAUAGACAUUAUUAACAUCCUUUAAGUCUAUGCAUGAUACUCCUUGGGAUAUAACUGUUACAUUAGCACAUAUCUGCAGACUGGGAUAGCUUUAUACACCUAGGUCUGUUUUGCUAAUAAACUUACUUUAUUAUCUGGUUUUAA